rnacentral:lncRNA from 1 species
GGGAUUGAGACACUUUAUGUUUCCAAUAUUUCAUUUAAAAAACUUCAUCUCUCAACAAUUAACCAAAGUUGCUGAAGCUACUCAUGUUGGGGUCCUACCAGUCAAAACUGGCCGAGCACAUUUUUUGAGUUAUUGGUUUGACCUGUGCGGCAGUGAGAGAGAAUAGUUCAAAAACUAAUUGAUAUGUUGCGAAUUGUUAGCUGGAAGUUUGAAUCUUGUUGCAAUUAGCACUUUGGAUAAAUUGACUGAACUUUUAUAAUUUUGAUUCAAGGCAAUAUUCAUGAUGUUAAUUGGUGAUUUACAAAUUGAAUUUUGUUUAGGAGAAAUAUGUAUAUUUAUAUGUAUAUAUAGUAGUGUAGAAUUAAGUGCCAAACUACACCAAAUCCAUAUAAAUUACUUUGAUGUGGAGGAGUUUGUAUCCAUUUAAUACUUCAUGCUAGUAUCAACUAGGAUUUGGAAGGAGUAUUA